rnacentral:lncRNA from 1 species
GGCUCACACUUCUGAGUACAGAGCAUUGUGGAUUGCUCUGACUAUAACCCCGGCUCCGGGGCGCAUUCAUCUCGGAAAUGACAACCUCUUUCGCCUGCAAGACUUCUCAGUCUGGGUCCAAACCCGAGCCGCGUAAACAAGGACCGGGACCCAGGAGCUUUGGAGCCCUCAGCGUCGACUGCAGAGCCCCCGGAGCCAGGUCUUUGCCCCGUUAAGAAGUGUAAAUCGACGCAAAAACCUUCCUGGUGCACACAAAGAGACCAAUCUUGCGCAUGUGUCUAAUCCCUCGGCUGUUGGAGACACUGGAGCAAUCAGGCUAGGCACCCGACGCCGACGUCUUCUCCCUAAAACGCCUCGAGCAGCGAAGUGGAGUGAUUUAUGCGCGCGUUUUAGUUAACUAUGACUAAAAGUGCCUCGUGGCUUUUCAGCUUCUAGAGGAAAUGGAGACCAUAGCUGUUACCAGCGGAUCCAAACGGUUUAUUGAAAUGUUCAACUCUUAAAAACAAAACAAUGAAGAACUUUGUCCCCUUCAUGCAGGAACGUGUGACAUUUAAAUGUAAACUAAUCUCUAUUGUAAAGAAAAUUUAAUCUAAACAUUAUAUCCUUUUGAUAAGAUUCAAGGGGAGAAAGGGAGUAUUAAAUGUUGGCUGAAGACAAUGUAUGGAUUUUUGCUAUAGGGAAGGAUAUUUAAUACCUAGUAAGUAAUGAUGUUUCUCAUUAAGAAAAAAAUGCAUAAAAACUGAACAUUUUCUGAGUAACUUAUUUAUAAAGAGUCGCCAUUUAAUAAAAUUUCGAAGGCUCCUGUUUAUUUCUGCUUAUUUUAGUAAAAAGUAUUUUUUCCUUGUUUUCAGUAAAUAUUGACUAGCCCUACUAGGAACACAAUAAUAUUAAUAGAGAAAGGAAACUAUCUGAUUGAGGGGAGAAAAAUAUGAAAACCUGAAGGAUAAAGAUGUCCCUUACCCUACCAAAUGGGCACCCCAAGAGUGAUAUUUGUCCCAUUAUUAGCAAGAUUCUCCUUCUAGAGCCCAUAUAACCCAAUGGAAAGACUAGCUUGUCUUAACAGCACACCAUUCCUAUCCAUUCAUUUAUGCAGCAAACAUUUACUUGGAGGAUCAGCCUUGCAGAGGGCCAGAUGCUGGGACAGAUACGUCCAAUCAUAUGGCAAGAUCCCUUAGGCUGACACUCUGGAAUGAGUUCAAACUCUGAUCUUUCCAGAAAACUUGCAAAAAAAAAAAAAAUCCCUAAUAAUUGGGUGUGAUUCCAUUUCUCCAAACCCCAUGCAACAUGUUGUCUAGUCCACUCAUUUGUUCCUAUUUCAUAUACUACAUAGCUAUUGUUUCUUUCUUUAUGUGAUGACUGUUUCAGAUUUGAAGGUACUUUAAAUACAUUAUUUCAUUCAGUCCUCUUUGCAACCCCAUUUAACAGAUGAUGAAACUGAGGCUAAGAGAUGUUCAGUUUCACAGCCACCAUUUCGAUAUAGGUUUUGUGUCCACAAUAAUUCCCUGACCACUAACCGCCACCACCGUUUAUGUAAUAAUUCGUUUCCACAAAUUAUUGUAAACUGUUCGAAGUCAGGGGUUAAUUUUGUCUCACCAACAAUCUGAGGGGACACCCAAGGAUAAGGUAAAGUUGGUAAUUCUAGCUUUUAAAGAUUAUGGAAUGAUUAUGCCUUUGUUCAUAUGCUAAUGUACACCUUUGUAACUCUUAAUAUGAUGGAUAAAUAUUAUCCUGUAUUUACUUUUGAUUCAUAGAUUGCUGGUAUAGCAAUUUGUGUUUGUGUGUGUGUAUAACAAAAUAACCCCUCUUUCUUUUUAUACUGUUCACUGCUCGAAAACACUAGCUUACAUAAUCUAAAUUUGGCAUAUAAAUUUUCCUAGAUCUAGAUUUGUUUGAUUGUAUCUUCAUAACAUUAUUUAUUUUAGUUACCUAAGCCUCAAACCAGUAAGGUGACUUAGACAUGUGAGUACUUCUCUUUUUUUCAAGAAUAAUUCACCAGGUGCUGUGUAUAUCCUACUAAUCCCAUCAAACAAAAUAAACACAAUGUCUGUCUCAUUAA